rnacentral:pre_miRNA from 1 species
CAAUAUUCUCCAUUGUGUCCUGAUUUGGUCUUCAUGGUUACCCUUACAAAAACACUGACUUUGGUUCUCAAUACAGUAAGUGCUUUUUGUUGGGGUAGUUUUGCUGAUCUCUGCAACA